GCUGUGUCAGAAGACCACCAACAGGGUGAUGACAUAAAUUACAGAAGGUUAUUUGUUUCUGGAGACAUCCAGGGGAAGCAGAGCAAAGCUCCCAAGGGAAAAGUGCCAACCCAGACUCAAGGUCAGAAAGUUGGUUCCUGGUCCAGAGGUCAGAGAGUUCCAGAGCACCCAAGCAUCAAAAGAUCGGGCCUUGGUUGCUCCCCGGGGCCUGCGACCUCCAGGACGGAGACGGCCCGAGGUGGAGGCAGGGCUCAGGGCUGGCACCCAGGGCAGCAGGCUGUGCGGGGAGGUCAUGAGGAAGGCCAGGCUGGGGAGCUGUUCUUCAUCCUCACUGGACCCAUCUGCUGGCCAGCGCAUCCCCCUAACAGGCGAGGUGCCUACACCACCUGAGGCUCCCCUGGUCCCCGGACAAGGAGGAGAGAGUCCA